AAGUGAGGAAUCAAUGCUAGGGGGUGUUUGUCUCGAGUUAGGUUAGCAGCAAAUGAAGGAGGGGGUAGAGGGGUAUUUAUACCCAGCCCCCAAAAACUAGCCGUUACUGUGCUGGUAAUGUACCUGUCGCAACUUCCGACAGGGACACCCCAGUAGGACAGAGAACUCCCAUCGGUAGUUUCCAGAAACUUCCGACCCCCUGUCGAAACUUCCGACACCCUGUCGGAACUUCC
rnacentral:lncRNA from 1 species